rnacentral:rRNA from 1 species
UGCGUAGACGGGAAGUCAAGUUAGUUGUGAAAUCCCUCGGCUUAACUGAGGAACUGUAACUAAAACUGAUUUUCUUGAGUACUGGAGAGGAAAGUGGAAUUCCCGGUGUAGCGGUGGAAUGCGUAGAUAUCGGGAGGAACACCAGUGGCGAAGGCGGCCUACUGGGCACCAACUGACGCUGAGGCUCGAAAGUGUGGGUAGCAAACA